rnacentral:rRNA from 1 species
AUUGAACGCUGGCGGCAUGCCUUACACAUGCAAGUCGAACGGUAACAGGUCUUCGGAUGCUGACGAGUGGCGAACGGGUGAGUAAUACAUCGGAACGUGCCUAGUAGUGGGGGAUAACUACUCGAAAGAGUGGCUAAUACCGCAUGAGAUCUACGGAUGAAAGCAGGGGAUCGCAAGACCUUGUGCUACGAUAGCGGCCGAUGGCAGAUUAGGUAGUUGGUGGGAUAAAAGCUUACCAAGCCGACGAUCUGUUGCCGGUCUGGGAGGACGAUCAGCCACACUGGGACUGAGACACGGCCCAGACUCCUACGGGAGGCAGCAGUGGGGAAUUUUGGACAAUGGGCGCAAGCCUGAUCCAGCAAUGCCGCGUGCAGGAUGAAGGCCUUCGGGUUGUAAACUGCUUUUGUACGGAACGAAAAGCCCUGGGUUAAUACCCUGGGGUCAUGACGGUACCGUAAGAAUAAGCACCGGCUAACUACGUGCCAGCCGCCGCCGUAAGAC